CCUUCUCUGCCAUCGACCGGCCACGCUCCCGCUCCGCACACCGCCGCCGCCGACGACGACCGCCGCGCUCCUCCACCUGGUGAUCCCAGGUUAGCGAUCUGUACGCAGUACCCAGGUAUGCUUCGUUCUCUGUUCGGGCCAUCUUUCUGCCUCUCCAAACCCCUCUCCGGACAGACGGAUCGGAGGGCUAAUACAGAAGGAGAAGGGGGGCAAUGCGUGACGGAGAUGGGGAAAUCUGGUUUUGGGGAAUAGGUGUAGGUGGCGGCGGAGAGGGUGAUAGCGAUGAUCAGUAUCUAGGAUUUCCAGUUCGACGGGGAGAUGCAGCCUUUUCAGAAGAUGUAAACUUUGCCUGUGCGAAGACUGGAGCCAGAAAGACACACAGCAUAUGGUAGGUUAAGUGGUCAUCAGUUCAUCAGUAGGAUUCAGUUCAAAGGAUGAUUACUGAGUGCAUCUCAUUAGCUUUGAAAUGUGUGUUUGAUUAAUUUGGAUAUUGGCACAGUGGGCAAGCAUCAUGCUUCCAUUUUAUUUUCCCUUCUGUAUUCUGAAACUAACGCUUAGCAUAUGUUCUUGAGUUCUUCCAUUUUAUUUUUUCCUUUUAGAGCU
rnacentral:sRNA from 1 species